rnacentral:rRNA from 1 species
UACGUAGGGUGCAAGCGUUGUCCGGAUUUAUUGGGCGUAAAGAGCGUGUAGGCGGCCAGGUAGGUCUGCUGUGAAAACUCGAGGCUCAACCUCGAGACGUCGGCGGAAACCAUCUGGCUAGAGUCCGGAAGAGGAGAGUGGAAUUCCUGGUGUAGCGGUGAAAUGCGCAGAUAUCAGGAAGAACACCCGUGGCGAAGGCGGCUCUCUGGGACGGGACUGACGCUGAGACGCGAAAGCGUGGGGAGCGAACAGG